UAUUCAUUUCAGCUGCAGACCCGUUUGAGAAAAAGUGGGGAUAGAGGCCAGAUGUGCAUUGUUGUCCUGUGUAGAAUUGUCAUAGACAUUGUCAUAGAUCAGUGGAGCACAUGCAUUCUAACCCAUUUUAGGGUUAGAUCAAGUCAAGAGAUUUAUUAUAAUGUACUUGUUCAAGUAGUUCAGAAAGUUCAAUACUCAAUUUAAUGACCAUAAUACAAUUAACACUAUAAAAAAAUGUAUGAAAAAAUAUAUUUGUAGUCCCCUUGCUCACAAAAAAUAAUUGGCACUGCCAUCAUCAGGUGUGCACUGGAGAAGUUGUCUCCACUAUGUGGCACUGUAGGAACACUUUUGUUAGAACGUAGUCUACGUUCUAAUAAAAACACAAAAAAGUUUUGCUUGGAAACGAACAUUCUGUUCUGUGUUAUCUAACAAUCAAAAACUCAGCUAAUGUGCUUCAUCAAGACAGCAUUUAUAAGGUUUGAUCAGAUUUGAUUGAUGGUUGCCUAGCAACAUAAACAACAACAUCUUAAUUAGUAAGUGGACACACUACUUUGUAUGUCAUACAGUGACAGCAAAUGCAGAAAUGUGAAAUAACCACAAUUGUUCUAACUUUUGUGGAAAAUUGCAUGACACUCCAUCGGCAGAUCAGGGAAGUUUCAAAAAUCAAGAACUGCAAGAAUUAAGAUUCAAUCAUAAACAACAACACCCUGGACUGAGAAACACUUGUUUUCAUUGAAACUACAUGUAAUGCUACAGCUAUCUUGUGAGCUACUACCUCAGACAGUACUACAAUAUCUUGUUCAGUCAGCAUGAAGCGCCGAAACAGGAAAAGAAACAAGAGAAAGCAUUAUGAUCACGCUGGCAAAAAACACAAGCCACAAUCACACAGGCCAACUAACGAUGCAGCUGAAGUGACACGAAUUAGACAAGCUCUCAAAUCAGCUAAGAGGACCAACCGGCGGCUGGCCUCCUUUGAGAAGCAGGUUUGGAGAUACAUACAAUUGGAGAUAUGUUGGAACCAGGAGAGGUGUCAACUCAUCUAUGAAAACAGGUGCCUUCAGAGGACGCUCGGGACGAAAUACAACCACGCUAAAAAGGAGAUUAGUAGGUUGCAGGGGGUGUUGAUGGAAACCAAAAGAGCUCACUGGCAGAAAGAGAAUGAAAGGCACCAAGCUGACUUGAAUAAUACGCUACAUGAAAUCAAGGUGGAGGGGAAAGAUGUCGCCUUAAAGACGGAAAAAACAACGCCAGCCAAAGUCCAGGAGUAGCAUGUGAUGAUAAAAAGGAGAAGCACUGCAGCCUCACGUCAAAGUAAAUCAUAAUAUUUGACACUGAAGUACUGUUGGUUAAA